GCCAAGAAUAGCAGAGCAACCAAGCAACGACCAUUUCAGAUUUUGAGCAGCUCACUCAAACUCAAGGCUUUGAGCAUCAGGAGGAUUAGCACUGCUAUUCCGAUUCAGAAAUAUGGAUAAACGACAGGCUUUGCCUAUACAGGUUGAGUAGCUGUCGAUGGUGAUGAAGUGACGACCGGAGUCUUUUGUCUUAUCCUUAUGUAUUAAUGAACUCUGGGGAUACAUGUCUUCAUACAUGUAAUCAGAACCUUAUUCCGCUGCGUACUCAGAAGUUUUAUGUUAUUUUGGCUAAGUCGGAGUUAUCCGAACUUACUAGUUAUUUGAGUCUAUACGACUAAAUCUCCGUUAUAUUAUAAAUAUCCCUUUUGUUAA